rnacentral:rRNA from 1 species
GAUGAACGCUGGCGGCGUGCCUAAUACAUGCAAGUCGAGCGAACGGACGAGAAGCUUGCUUUUCUGAUAUUAGCGGCGGACGGGUGAGUAACACGUGGAUAACCUACCUAUAAGACUGGGAUAACUUCGGGAAACCGGAGCUAAUACCGGAUAAUAUUUUGAACCGCAUGGUUCAAAAGUGAAAGACGGUCUUGCUGUCACUUAUAGAUGGAUCCGCGCUGCAUUAGCUAGUUGGUAAGGUAACGGCUUACCAAGGCAACGAUGCAUAGCCGACCGGAGAGGGUGGUCGGCCACACUGGAACUGAGACACGGUCCAGACUCCUAGGGGAGGCAGCAGUAGGGAAUCUGCCGCAAUGGGCGAAAGCCUUACGGAGCAACGCCGCGUGAGUGAUGAAGGUCUUCGGAUCGUAAAACUCUGUUAUUAGGGAAGAACAUAUGUGUAAGUAACUGUGCACAUCUUGACGGUACCUAAUCAGAAAGCCACGGCUAACUACGUG